UCCCUAGUGGCUCAGUUGGUAAAGAAUCUGCCUGCAAUGCGGGAGACCCGGGUUCAAUCCCUGGGUUGGGAA
rnacentral:tRNA from 1 species